rnacentral:rRNA from 1 species
AUACGUAGGGUGCAAGCGUUAAUCGGAAUUACUGGGCGUAAAGCGUGCGCAGGCGGUUCGGAAAGAAGGAUGUGAAAUCCCAGGGCUCAACCUUGGAACUGCAUUCUUAACUACCGGACUAGAGUAUGUCAGAGGGGGGUAGAAUUCCGCGUGUAGCAGUGAAAUGCGUAGAUAUGCGGAGGAAUACCGAUGGCGAAGGCAGCCCCCUGGGAUAAUACUGACGCUCAUGCACGAAAGCGUGGGUAGCAAACAGGAUUAGAUACCCUGGUAGUCCACGCCCUAAACGAUGUCAACUAGCUGUUGGGCCCUUCGGGGCUUAGUAGCGUAGCUAACGCGUGAAGUUGACCGCCUGGGGAGUACGGUCGCAAGAUUAAAACUCAAAGGAAUUGACGGGG